GCCUGCUUAGCUCAGUUGGUUAGAGCAUCCGUCUCAUACGCGGAGGGUCACGAGUUCAAAUCUAGUAGCAGGCA
rnacentral:tRNA from 1 species